CAAGUUAAUUAAAAGUGAAACCGGGAAUGGCUCAUUAAAUCAGCUAUGAUUCAUUGGAUCUGUACACCCAGUUUUCCUUGGAUAACUGUGGUAAUUCUAGAGCUAAUACAUGCACAUAUAGUCCCUAACCUCACGGGAAGGGCGCUUUUAUUAGAAUCAAAACCGGUCGGGCUUCGGUCUGUAAAACCAGUUGUGAUGACUCUGGAUAAUUUAAGCUGAGCGCACGGUCUUUGCACUGGCGCCGCUUCUUUCAAGUGUCUGCCUUAUCAGCUUUCGAUUGUAGGUUAUGCGCCUACAAUGGCUAUAACGGGUAACGGGGAAUCAGGGUUCGAUUCCGGAGAGGGAGCCUGAGAAACGGCUACCACAUCCAAGGAAGGCAGCAGGCACGCAAAUUACCCACUCCCAGCACGGGGAGGUAGUGACGAAAAAUAACGAUGCGAGACUCAUCCGAGGCCUCGCAAUCGGAAUGAGUACACUUUAAAUCCUUUAACGAGGAUCAAUUGGAGGGCAAGUCUGGUGCCAGCAGCCGCGGUAAUUCCAGCUCCAAUAGCGUAUAUUAAAGUUGUUGCGGUUAAAAAGCUCGUAGUUGGAUUUCAGGAUUGGACUGAAGGUUCGCCGUGAGGCGUUUAAAACCUAUCACGUUCCGAAACCAGCUAACGCAACAAGUUUGUGUAUGCCCACACUAGCUCACAUGGGGUGCUCUUAAUUGAGUGUCCCGAGUGGCUGGUAUGUUUACUUUGAAAAAAUUAGAGUGCUCAGAGCAGGCCAACUGAAUGGCCUGAAUGUCUAUGCAUGGAAUAAUAUAAAAGGACCUCGGUUCUAUUUUCUCCGGGUGUUUUGUGGAACCCGAGGUAAUGAAUAAUAGAGACAAAUGGGGGCAUUAUGUUUUCAUUAAUCAAGAACGAAAGUUAGAGGUUCGAAGGCGAUCAGAUACCGCCCUAGUUCUAACCAUAAACGAUGCUGACCAGCGAUCCGCCGGCGUUAUUCCCAUGACUCGGCGGGCAGCUUCCCGGGAAACCAAAGUCUUUGAGUUCCGGGGGAAGUAUGGUUGCAAAUCUGAAACUUAAAGGAAUUGACGGAAGGGCACCACCAGGAGUGGAGCCUGCGGCUUAAUUUGACUCAACACGGGAAACCUCACCAGGCCCAGACACUGGAAGGAUUGACAGAUUGAGAGCUCUUUCUCGAUUCAGUGGGUGGUGGUGCAUGGCCGUUCUUAGUUGGUGGAGCGAUUUGUCUGGUUAAUUCCGAUAACGAACGAGACUCUGGCCUAUUAACUAGUCGACGGAUUUCCAUAAAUUGGUGUCCAGUUCGCAACUUCUUCUUAGAGGGAUAAGCGGUAGUCCUAGCCGCACGAGAUUGAGCAAUAACAGGUCUGUGAUGCCCUUAGAUGUUCUGGGCCGCACGCGCGCUACACUGAAGGGAUCAGCGUGUUUUCCCCCUCCGAGAGGAGCGGGUAACCCGAUGAAAACCCUUCUUGAUAGGGAUUGGGGCUUGCAAUUGUUUCCCAUGAACGAGGAAUUCCCAGUAAGCGCAAAUCAUUAGUUUGCGUUGAUUACGUCCCUGCCCUUUGUACACACCGCCCGUCGCUACUACCGAUUGAAUGAUUUAGUGAGGCCUUCGGACUGGCACUCUUGGAUGUCUGGCUACGAUCUCGUAAUGAGUUCUGUUAGUCCAGUGCCUCGAGUUUUUGACGGAAAGAUGUCCAAACUUGAUCAUUUAGAGGAAGUAAAAGUCGUAACAAGGUUUCC
rnacentral:rRNA from 1 species